rnacentral:rRNA from 1 species
UUGUAGAAUGAACCGGAGAGUUACGAUUGCGUGCAAGGUUAAGGUGCAAAGACUGGAGCCGUAGCGAAAGCGAGUCUUAAUAGGGCGAAUCAGUACGUAGUUGUAGACCCGAAACCGAGUGACCUAUCCAUGGUCAGGUUGAAGGUGGGGUAAUACCUACUGGAGGACCGAACAAGUGGGUGUUAAAAAACCCUUUGAUGAACUGUGGAUAGCGGUGAAAUUCCAAUCGAACUCGGAGAUAGCUGGUUCUAUCCGAAAUACAUUUAGGUGUAGCCUUGCAAUUAGCUUACUGGAGGUAGAGCACUAUUUGGUCUAGGGGCCCUUCAAGGGUUACCAAAAUCAGAUAAACUCCGAAUGCCAGCUAAGUAUGUGCAGGAGUCAGACGGUGAGUGAUAAGAUCCAUCGUCAAAAGGGGAACAGCCCAGAUCACCAGUUAAGGUCCCUAAAUAUAUGCUAAGUGGAAAACGUUGUGAAGGUGCAUAGACAACUAGGAGGUUGGCUCAGAAGCAGCCACCCUUUAAAGAGUGCGUAAUAGCUCACUAGUCGAGUGCUCUUGCGCGGAUAAUGUACCGGGGCUAAGCAUAUUACCGAAACUGUGGAUGCGUAAGCAUGGUAGGAUAGCGUAAUUAACGCGAUGAAGGAUGACCGUAAGGACAUGUUGGAGCGUUAACUAGUGAGAAUUCCGGUAUGAGUAGCGAAAGAUAGGUGAGAAUCCUAUCCACCGAAUGAGUAAGGUUUCCCCCGGAAGGCUCGUCCGCGGGGGGUUAGUCGGGACCUAAGGCGAGGCUGAAAAGCGUAGUCGAUGGACAACAGGUUGAUAUUCCUGUACCGAUAUUUAAUUGCCGAAGGAAGGACGCAGAAGGAUAACACAGGCCACUAUUGGAUGU